rnacentral:lncRNA from 1 species
AGAGCCAGUGAGGAGAGUACAAAUAAGGGAGGGAGGGAUGGGGUGUGCCAGUUUCAACCAAUUUUUUUUCAAGAAUCUCCUGCCUGCAGGAUGUUUUCCCCUCAGUCUUGCUGAGCUAUCAGCCUUCCUCAUCCACCAUCAGGCACCAGGAACGACCUUGUAAGAUCUGAAAGCUUAAAAGAUAAUCUGACUUUGGAAAUUUCAUCAUGCAGAAGGAGGAGGAAGAGGGAUCGGUAAGCUACAACACGUACAAGAAUUCCAUCUAAGACUACCAGAGCUGCCAUAGAGAAAAUACUUUGACGACUUGCCAUCCUAACAUGCCAGCUAAAGGUUAUAUGACAAUAAUGAUAAUAGACUAGACUGUUGUUAGCUUAACACAUUUCACAAAAUACAGAACAUUUCACACUAACUUUGCGAUGUCAUCUUUUCUUUUUUUCCUUUAAUGGAUAUCUCGAAAGUGAAAUGGUAUUGGAAAGCAAAAGCCGGCAUAAACCAAAUGCUCCUUUUGUCAUGCUGCGUGUUCAGAUGUUCUGACAUUAUCUCCUUUGAGCAAGAUCAAGGAAGGUAACGGAUCGGGCAUCCGUCUGAUUCUCUUUUCCUGGAGCUCCUGAAAACACACUGCCAACCAAUCUGAAUGUGUUAGAGAUUAUUCCAUAUUUUUUAUUUUAAAAACUUAAGUAAGUCCAUCAAUAGCCAUACUAAAACACACACUCACUAGGAUAAAAAACGUACUGUGCUUUCCCCCCCCCCUUUUAAAAUAAAAAAUCUACUAGGUUAAAAUUACA